rnacentral:rRNA from 1 species
UCGAUCUGUAAUAUUUGUGGCAAUGGUGAAGAGAACGAGUACCAUGCGGUAAUUUCCUGUACUAAGAGUAGAGCCCUCAGGGAAGCCAUGAGGAAAGAAUGGCACCUCCCACUGGAGAAAUCUUUCAGAUACACCGGAACAGACUGGCUGCAGAUGCUCCUUGACCCUGAAUCCGAAGAAACUCGGGCUAACAUCCUAUUCAUUCUCUGGAGAUGUUGGCACUUGCGGGAAGACUGCAUCCGAAACAAUGGAAAGGAAUCA